AUGAGAUUUCUCUCAAUUGUAAACAUUUGUCACGAGUUCCAUAUAAAGUUUGUAUGUCUGAGCUGGAUACUUAAAAAUCUAAUUUCUAAUAAAUGUAUAUGGUUUUAUUUCAUUCUAUGUGUAUUGCACUAUCACCCUCAUCUGUCAUGGGUUGCAUAUAAAGUUUAUAUGUUCAGAGGUGGAUACAUAAAAGUCUGCAAUUUCUAA